rnacentral:rRNA from 1 species
GAAAGCGUGGGGAGCGAACAGGAUUAGAUACCCUGGUAGUCCACGCCGUAAACGGUGGAUGCUGGAUGUGGGGCCCGUUCCACGGGUUCCGUGUCGGAGCUAACGCGUUAAGCAUCCCGCCUGGGGAGUACGGCCGCAAGGCUAAAACUCAAAGAAAUUGACGGGGGCCCGCACAAGCGGCGGAGCAUGCGGAUUAAUUCGAUGCAACGCGAAGAACCUUACCUGGGCUUGACAUGUUCCCGACGAUCCCAGAGAUGGGGUUUCCCUUCGGGGCGGGUUCACAGGUGGUGCAUGGUCGUCGUCAGCUCGUGUCGUGAGAUGUUGGGUUAAGUCCCGCAACGAGCGCAACCCUCGCCCCGUGUUGCCAGCGGAUUGUGCCGGGAACUCACGGGGGACCGCCGGGGUUAACUCGGAGGAAGGUGGGGAUGACGUCAGAUCAUCAUGCCCCUUACGUCCAGGGCUUCACGCAUGCUACAAUGGCCGGUACAACGGGAUGCGACAGCGCGAGCUGGAGCGGAUCCCUGAAAACCGGUCUCAGUUCGGAUCGCAGUCUGCAACUCGACUGCGUGAAGGCGGAGUCGCUAGUAAUCGCGAAUCAGCAACGUCGCGGUGAAUGCGUUCCCGGGCCUUGUACACACCGCCCGUCAAGUCAUGAAAGUGGGCAGCACCCGAAGCCGGUGGCCUAACCCCUUGCGGGAGGGAGCCGUCUAAGGUGAGGCUCGUGAUUGGGACUAAGUCGUAACAAGGUAGCCGUACCGGAAGGUGCGGCUG